GAUCCUGGCUCAGGACGAACGCUGGCGGCGUGCUUAACACAUGCAAGUCGAGCGGUAAGGCCCUUCGGGGUACACGAGCGGCGAACGGGUGAGUAACACGUGGGUGAUCUGCCUCGCACUCUGGGAUAAGCCUGGGAAACUGGGUCUAAUACCGGAUAUGACCUUACAUCGCAUGGUGUUUGGUGGAAAGAUUUAUCGGUGCGAGAUGGGCCCGCGGCCUAUCAGCUUGUUGGUGGGGUAAUGGCCUACCAAGGCGACGACGGGUAGCCGGCCUGAGAGGGCGACCGGCCACACUGGGACUGAGACACGGCCCAGACUCCUACGGGAGGCAGCAGUGGGGAAUAUUGCACAAUGGGCGAAAGCCUGAUGCAGCGACGCCGCGUGAGGGAUGACGGCCUUCGGGUUGUAAACCUCUUUCGACAGGGACGAAGCGCAAGUGACGGUACCUGUAGAAGAAGCACCGGCCAACUACGUGCCAGCAGCCGCG
rnacentral:rRNA from 1 species